rnacentral:rRNA from 1 species
GAUGAACGCUAGCUACAGGCUUAACACAUGCAAGUCGAGGGGCAGCAUGAACUUAGCUUGCUAAGUUUGAUGGCGACCGGCGCACGGGUGAGUAACACGUAUCCAACCUGCCGAUGACUCGGGGAUAGCCUUUCGAAAGAAAGAUUAAUACCCGAUGGCAUAGUUCUUCCGCAUGGUAGAACUAUUAAAGAAUUUCGGUCAUCGAUGGGGAUGCGUUCCAUUAGGUUGUUGGCGGGGUAACGGCCCACCA